GACGUAGGGGGCCAGCGUUGUUCGGAAUUACUGGGUGUAAAGGGUUCGUAGGCGGUGUGGCAAGUCGGGAGUGGAAUCUCUGGGCUCAACUCAGAGACUGCUUCCGAAACUGCUGUGCUGGAGUGUGGGAGAGGCGCGUGGAAUUGCAGGUGUAGCGGUGAAAUGCGUAGAUAUCUGCAGGAACACCCGUGGCGAAAGCGGCGCGCUGGACCACUACUGACGCUGAGGAACGAAAGCUAGGGGAGCAAACAGG
rnacentral:rRNA from 1 species